rnacentral:tRNA from 1 species
UUUCUUCUAGCUUAAGGAUUAAAGCGUUAGUUUGAAGCACUGAAGUUAACUUACAGUUGAAGCGGA